GCGGUAGUCGACGUCGAGGUUAGGCCGCGUCCGCCUCCCGCCCGCCUCCCGCGGAACGGGCGCCGCGGGCCGCUCUGGAAAGGAAGAGGUCCGGCUGGCCGCGCCCCCGCCGCCUCCGCAGAGACCGCGCUGCCGCGGCCACGAGAACCCCCGGAGCCGGGAGCCGGGCCGAGUCCCAAGCGCUCGCCCCCGCCUCGCGCCCCCCGCGCCUCCUCCCUCGCGGCCCCGGAGCCGCAGGUCGGUGACUGGACCAGCCGGGAAGGGAGGCGGGGCGGGCCCUGCUUGCCAGGCGCUCGGCGCAGACUUUUUUCUCUUUCCGUUUCGCGAUCCUCGGGACCUCCCAGGGCUAGGAGCUGCGCGCCCCACCCGGCCCGCGAGGGGAUGGCAACUACCCGGGGUCCGGAGGCGGGGCUGCGAGUGUCGGGGCGGGGGGCGCGGGCCGGGUCGAGCACCGCCCCGACGAGGGCCCAGGCCAGUCCGGCCCGCCCCGGGUUCCCUCCGUGCCUCAGGUCCCCUCCGUGCCCCGCGUCCUCCCGCGCAUUCCGGUCAUGCCUCAGCCGCGCCAAGGCCUGGGACACGGCCGGACAGACCGCGGGGCAGCCCUCGGAGAAGUGGGAAGAGGGGAGAAAACAGUGGCGAAAAGAAGGUCUCCUGGGAAGGAGCGCCCUGGGAAGCUGGACGCGGUGGGUGCUCUUGAGGGGCCUCAGGAGUGGACUUGGGGAAACCGCCCGCCCUGAAAACUGACUCAGCGGCGCGUUACUGAGGCCGUUCCUAGUUGGAAGAGAAUUAAUAGCACUUGUUUGAGAAUUACAAGUUAGUUCCAGAAAUGAAUCGAGUGACCUCACAGCCCGUAGGCAGGGGUGGGAGAGCCAGGGUGAGCCCCUCACCUCACCCCGCCCCCGCCCCGGCAGCGCUCUGGAAAGCCUCAAAGCCCAGCGCUGCGCGGAAAUGUUAGAGGCCCAAGGCAGGUGGCCUGUCUGGACUCAGACCCGACCCAGAUGUCCCCCCAGGUCCCUACCACUCAGUCCCACCUGCCUCGACUCAGUCCCGACCCAGAUGACCACCCCCCCCCCGCCCCCACCACGACCAACUUUUAUUCCGACUGCGCCAGUGACUUGCAGAUAGCAUAGCUUCAAAUUUCCUCACCUGGUCUGGGGCGGUGAACAGGUCAAGAUGGAGAGUGUCAAGAGAGACUUUUGCUUUGUCUAUGAUGUUUUUAUAUACACUUGCUAAUUAAAUGAACGCAUAUG
rnacentral:lncRNA from 1 species